GUGGGGAAUCUUCCGCAAUGGACGAAAGUCUGACGGAGCAACGCCGCGUGAGUGAAGAAGGUUUUCGGAUCGUAAAGCUCUUUCGUUAGGGACGAACGUGCUCUUUGUGAAUAAUGAGGAGUAAUGACGGUACCUAAAUAAGAAGCCACGGCUAACUACGUGCCAGCAGCCGCGGUAAUACGUAGGUGGCAAGCGUUGUCCGGAAUUAUUGGGCGUAAAGCGCGCGCAGGCGGGAUAUCAAGUCUGUCUUAAAAGUGCGAGGCUCAACCUCGUGAGGGGACAGGAACUGGUAUUCUUGAGUGUCGGAGAGGAAAGUGGAAUUCCAAGUGUAGCGGUGAAAUGCGUAGAGAUUUGGAAGAACACCAGUGGCGAAGGCGACUUUCUGGACGAUGUCUGACGCUGAGGCGCGAAAGCUAGGGGAGCGAACGGGAUUAGAAACCCGAGUAGUCC
rnacentral:rRNA from 1 species